rnacentral:rRNA from 1 species
UGCGAGUGAAGCGGCAAGAGCUCAAAUUUGAAAUCNGGCGUNUNAUUNAGGCGUCCGAAUUGUAAUUUGAAGGAGUAUCUUCAGAAGCUAGAACGUUGUUCUAAGUUCUUUUGGAACUGGACAUGAUAGAGGGUGAGAAUCCCGUGCCUGGACAGCCGUUCUGGKUUCUAUAUGAAAUGCUUCCAACGAGUCGAGUUGUUUGGGAAUGCAGCUCAAAAUGGGUGGUAAAUUUCAUCUAAAGCUAAAUAUWGGCGAGAGACCGAUAGCGCACAAGUAGAGUGAUCGAAAGAUGAAAAGCACUUUGAAAAGAGAGUUAAACAGUACGUGAAAUUGUUGAAAGGGAAGCGCUUGAGAUUAAUCUNGGCUAUUGGUGGGACCCCAUGUUAGAGCCUUAAAAACUCUGGCGUGGAAACGUUGCAUCAAGCCAGGCCAGCAUCGGUUUUAACGGUGGGAAAAAGGGUUAGGAAAKGUAGCUCUUGAUUUUCAAGAGUGUUAUAGGCUUGACUCUUUAAUACUACUAGUUGGGACCGAGGACUGCGUCUUUAUUUUAUAGUAAAGGCUAGGAU